rnacentral:lncRNA from 12 species
UGAUGAUUAUUUAGUAAAAUGGUAAAGUUUCUCUGCAGAUUCAACACCAAAUUUCUCUAUAAAUGCUACAACAAUAGAGCCAAAAUCAACUCUGGCUACAGAAUCCAGUACUUGUUAUGAGACCACAAUAAACCCUACAACUGAAACUACUCAUCCUUUACAACCUCUCAACGUCACAUGGAACACAACAGGGGGUGAGUUACAGCUGUUGUUAGAGGUACACUAUGUAACUUUUUUUUUUUUUUGCUCAAAAAGUUGAUGCAAUGAGUACAUCAUGAAUCCAUCUUCCAAAACAUGUUUUUGUCUUAUCCUGAAUCACUAUGGUACACCUAUAAUAAGUGUUUAUGUUAGGACUAUUUUAUGCUGCAGAGAAGCCCAGUACCUGCAUGACUUGUCAUAUACAUAAACAGAAUGAAGUAGCUCCAGCUACAAUGUUCUUCUGCAGGAUGCAUGCAGUUUUGUUUAUUCACUGUUAGAGUGCCAAAAGUUACGUAGUGUACCUUUAAAGGAAUAGUUCACCUAAAAAUGAAACUUUGUCUAUUCCUCCAUUUCAACCUUUCAGUUCUCAAAGUCGCAGCUGCUGGUGAAAAUGCUGUCCAUAGAACACCAAGAACAAAAACAUUGCUCAUCCUGACACUGGCAGCCACAAGCGGAGGGAUUUUCCUGACCGGACUCAUGGGCAUCUGUCUGUGCUACAUCAGUAUGUUACCAACACAUCUGAAUUACAGUAGACUGCCUUUUUUAAUAUUCAGUUUGCAGAACAACACAUUAAUGCACUGGUAUGAUAUAUUUUACUAG